GGGGAAUUUUGGACAAUGGGCGAAAGCCUGAUCCAGCAAUGCCGCGUGAGUGAAGAGGGCCUUCGGGUUGUAAAGCUCUUUUGUUUGGGAAGAAAUCCUAAAGGCUAAUAUCCUUUGGGGAUGACGGUACCAAAAGAAUAAGCACCGGCUAACUACGUGCCAGCAGCCGCGGUAAUACGUAGGGUGCAAGCGUUAAUCGGAAUUACUGGGCGUAAAGCGUGCGCAGGCGGUUUUGUAAGACAGGUGUGAAAUCCCCGAGCUCAACUUGGGAACUGCACUUGUGACUGCAAGACUAGAGUGUGUCAGAGGGAGGUAGAAUUCCACGUGUAGCAGUGAAAUGCGUAGAGAUGUGGAGGAAUACCGGUGGCGAAGGCGGCCUCCUGGGAUAACACUGACGCUCAUGUACGAAAGCGUGGGGAGCAAAC
rnacentral:rRNA from 1 species